UACGAGGGGGGCAAGUGUUGUUCGGAAUCACUGGGCGUAAAGGGCGCGUAGGCGGAUGUUUAAGUCGGGAGUUUAAAACCGGGGCCCAACCCCGGAGCGGCUCCCGAAACUGGGCAUCUUGAAUAGGUCAGAGGCUGGUGGAAUUGGAGGUGUAGCGGUGGAAUGCGUAGAGAUCUCCAAGAACACCUAUUGCGAAGGCAGCCAGCUGGGACCAUAUUGACGCUGAGGCUCGAAAGCAUGGGGAGCAAACGGG
rnacentral:rRNA from 1 species